rnacentral:rRNA from 1 species
GUGGGGAAUUUUGGACAAUGGGCGCAAGCCUGAUCCAGCAAUGCCGCGUGCAGGAAGAAGGCCUUCGGGUUGUAAACUGCUUUUGUACGGAACGAAACGGUCCUGGUUAAUACCUGGGGCUAAUGACGGUACCGUAAGAAUAAGCACCGGCUAACUACGUGCCAGCAGCCGCGGUAAUACGUAGGGUGCGAGCGUUAAUCGGAAUUACUGGGCGUAAAGCGUGCGCAGGCGGUGCUGUAAGACAGGCGUGAAAUCCCCGGGCUCAACCUGGGAAUUGCGCUUGUGACUGCAGUGUUGGAGUACGGCAGAGGGGGAUGGAAUUCCGCGUGUAGCAGUGAAAUGCGUAGAUAUGCGGAGGAACACCGAUGGCGAAGGCAGUCCCCUGGGCCUGUACUGACGCUCAUGCACGAAAGCGUGGGGAGCAAACAGGAUUAGAUACCCCAGUAGUCC